UACGGGGGGAGCAAGCGUUGUUCGGAUUUACUGGGCGUAAAGGGCGCGUAGGCGGCGCAACAAGUCACUUGUGAAAUCUCCGGUCUUAACCCGGAGCGGCCAAGUGAUACUGUCGUGCUAGAGUGCGGAAGGGGCUACUGGAAUUCUCGGUGUAGCGGUGAAAUGCGUAGAUAUCGAGAGGAACACCUGCGGCGAAGGCGGGUAGCUGGGCCGACACUGACGCUGAGGCGCGAAAGCCAGGGGAGCGAACAGG
rnacentral:rRNA from 1 species